UACGUAGGCGGAUUAUUAAGUCAGUGGUGAAAGCCCGUGGCUCAACCAUGGAACUGCCAUUGAUACUGAUAAUCUUGAAUAUAGUUGAGGUGAGUGGAAUGUAAUGUGUAGCGGUGAAAUGCAUAGAUAUGUUACAGAACACCAAUUGCGAAGGCAGCUCACUAAACUACUAUUGACGCUGAGGUACGAAAGCGUGGGGAGCGAACAGGAUUAGAUACCCUGGUAGUCC
rnacentral:rRNA from 1 species